CCGUAGCUCAACUGGAUAGAGCAACUGCCUUCUAAGCAGUAGGUUUCAGGUUCGAGUCCUG
rnacentral:ncRNA from 12 species